UGGUUUUUAGCCUCGUUCCAUUUCGUAAAAACAGUAAUAGCGUCCAAAUCUUGUGCCACAUCUGCAAGGUAAAAAACAAUUACAGCACUUCGUUAGUGAUCCAUUCUUUUUAAAUCGCUUAUACGCAAGUCCAAUCAGAUAAUGUUUCAGUCCCAAUCUGGCGUAUUUCCAUUGAAUAUAGUCCCCCUCAACCUCAACCUGUUCCACAUUUCUGCCGAAAACGUACGAGUGCCAAAAAUCUGCCGGGUCGAACGUUCCAUACUUAUCUUCCAAGUCUUGAAUGAUUUCAUCCAACGUGUCCUGAACCUUAUCGUCAAUUUCAGUCGGCAAGGAGUCAAACGCUUUCUCAGUCACUCUUGAACCUCUGACCGUUAAACUCGUGAAUACAAUAAAAAACAAUAUGAUAACCGCGAUUCUCCACGAUAAGUUCAUUCUUGUUCUUGACAUCGUAAACUUUAUGUUUUGUUUAUUUCGAUUCACGAAGGGAGGGUUGCACCGUGAAAUGUGAACCAGCAGUCAGCAGUCAACUUCACACCGCUGAGGAUGCUACUAAUCCAACUCGAUGUACUCAAGUUAAGAGAUGUGUGAUGAAUAAUGAUGACUGGAUUUUUCAGUCAGUACUUCUAAUGAAUACGCCCAUUAUUAGUGCUGAUUACAAAAUUCUACCAAAAAAUUUAUUAGUUAUUAUUGGAAAUGAGAACUGAUGAAUGAAAUGAAUAUGUACACCCAUUAAAACAUUAUUAUUCUUUGAAAUGAUUAUAUUUAUUCAUGGUGUGAUGUGUAUCAUUUCAUUAACGUAUUCACUGAUAUCUUUAAUCGUAA